CCCUGUGUCCCCAUGUCCCUGUGUCCCCAUGACCCCCACAUCCUCAUGUCCCUGUGUCCCCAUGUCCCCAUGUCCCCAUGACCCUGUGUCCCCAUGUCCCCGUGUCCCCAUGACCCCCACAUCCUCAUGUCCCGAUGUCUCCGCAUCCCUGUGUCCCCAUGUCCCCAUGUCCGCACAUCCCUGUGUCCCCAUGUCCCCCAUCCCCACGUCCCCAUGUCCCUGUGUCUCCACAUCCCUGUGUCCCCACAUCCCUGUGUUCCCACGUCCCAUGUCUCAUGUCCCCAUGUCCCUGCAUCCCCAUAUCCUCGUGUCCCCAUGUCCCAUGUCUCACAUCCUUGUGUCCCCAUGUCCCUGUGUCCCCAUGUCCCAUGUCUCACAUCCUCGUAUCCCUGUGUCCCCGUGUCCCUAUGUCCCAUGUCUCACGUCCUCGUAUCCCUGUGUCCCCGUGUCCCUAUGUCCCAUGUCUCACGUCCUUGUAUCCCUGUGUCCCCC
rnacentral:lncRNA from 1 species